UACGAAGGGGGCUAGCGUUGCUCGGAAUCACUGGGCGUAAAGGGUGCGUAGGCGGGUUUUUAAGUCAGGGGUGAAAUCCUGGAGCUCAACUCCAGAACUGCCUUUGAUACUGAAGAUCUUGAGUCCGGGAGAGGUGAGUGGAACUGCGAGUGUAGAGGUGAAAUUCGUAGAUAUUCGCAAGAACACCAGUGGCGAAGGCGGCUCACUGGCCCGGUACUGACGCUGAGGCACGAAAAGCGUGGGGAGCAAACAGG
rnacentral:rRNA from 1 species